UUUGUUCACUGGGGUUUAACGAAAAAUAGCUGAGCAGACAGGAACCCUUGCCCUGUAGGUAGUAUGGCAACAUAUACCAUGGUCCAUUCAUUUGCUACCAGAAAACUCAGCACAGACAGGGUGUUUGAGGAAGCCUUGCUUGAAAAACUAACCAAAUGACAGAAAAACUUCAGUUUGGGCUGAGAAGAGCCACAAGUGAAGAAAAUCUGAAAUAAGAGAGGAACAUGAAAGGACAGAAGCACAGCAUAACUGUCCUCUGAGAGGCUCCAUCCAACAGUGGAUCAAAGCAGAUGCUGAGACCCACAGCCAAAAUUCGAUAGAGCUUGGGGAGUCUUAUGGAAGAGUCAGGAGGACAAGAAAUCCACAAGAUCAACAGAGUCAAUUAACCUAGGCUAAUGGGCGAUCACAGAAACUGAACCACCAACCAAAGAGCAUUCAUGGACUGUACCUACAUCCCUCGCACAUAUGUAGCUGAUGGGCAGCUUGGUCCUCAUGUGGGUCCCUUUGCAAUUGGAGCAGGGGCCAGCUCUGACAUGGAUGCAGUUGCCUGCUUUUGGAUCACUUUCCCCUAGCUGGGCUGCCUUGUCUGGCCACAGUGAAAGAAGAUGCACUUAAUCUUGAUGGUUU